rnacentral:lncRNA from 1 species
CUUUUUUUUUUUUUUUUUAAUUUUUAUUUAUUUAUGAUAGGCACACAGUGAGAGAGAGAGAGGCAGAGACACAGGCAGAGGGAGAAGCAGGCUCCAUGCACCGGGAGCCUGACGUGGGAUUUGAUCCUGGGUCUCCAGGAUCACGCCCUGGGCCAAAGGCAGGCGCUAAACCGCUGCGCCACCCAGGGAUCCCGUAUUCCAAAUCUUUCAAACAACAGCCAACAUGUAUUACCUGUGUGCUGCCCCAAGUACUACUGCCCUGCACAUUAGUCUCUUGUGACACUAAGAGAUGGCUCUGACUUGACUCUCUGUGCCAGGCACUGUGCUUCACAUUCAUGACCUCAGUUAAUUCUCAAACCAUCCUGAGUAAGCGUUAUUGCUGUCCCCAUUUCCAUUUCGUAGAUGAGAAAACUGAAACUUAGAGAAACAAAAUAACUGCCCCAAGGUCAUUUAGAAAGAGACAGAAAAACAUGCAAAGCUAGACAGCCUGCCUCAAAACCCAAGCUCUUAGCCACUAUGCUACUCUGUGGCCCUGUUAAAAGUGAGGCAACUAUGAAUCACUGUCUAGAAUUUUUAGGCAAGUGAAAAAUACAAGUUGUAUUUGAAAACACUGCCUAAUAUCCAACUAGACUAUUGAAACCUAAACGUUUAGCCAAAGUGGAUUUUUGUUGUUGGCUGGUUUACUUUAGAAAAUAAAUUCAGAUGAUGUGAUACUUAUUUUUUUAAUGCUAGAAAUUUCUCUGUACCCUCUUGGCAAAUGAGGAUUGCCGUAAUACACCCUAGAACAAUCUGUCAGGAAAUGAUUGCACAAUUGUGCCAGUUCAGGCUGUCUCCUCCUCAGAUUUCUUCUGGGCCCUCUUUUGGACAGUCAUUAUGUAAUGAGAAAGCUGAUGGACAGUGAAGGGAGGGGUCUUGCUCUUUACCUUAGUAUAGACUCAUACUCGACAUAAUACAAAACAACCAAAAUCCAGCUGCUGCUAGUGGGAAGGUAUGAUAUGAUGAUUUACAGUAAGAAUAUAUAUUUGGUCUUCCGCCUAAUUCUGG